rnacentral:rRNA from 1 species
AGAGUUUGAUCAUGGCUCAGAAUCAACGCUGGCGGCGUGCCUAACACAUGCAAGUCGAACGCGACUUGGGCUUCGGCCUAAGUUGAGUGGCGAACGGGUGAGUAACACGUGGGUGACCUACCCUCGAGUGGGGGGUAACAGUCCGAAAGGAUUGCUAAUACCGCAUGACAUCCUGUCCUUGGACGGAUGGAGAUCAAAGCCGGGGAUCGUAAGACCUGGCGCUUGAGGAGGGGCCCGCGUUCGAUUAGCUAGUUGGUGGGGUAACGGCUCACCAAGGCGACGAUCGAUAGCCGGCCUGAGAGGGCGGACGGCCACACUGGGACUGAGACACGGCCCAGACUCCUACGGGAGGCAGCAGUGGGGAAUUGUUCGCAAUGGGCGCAAGCCUGACGACGCAACGCCGCGUGGAGGAUGAAGAUCUUCGGGUCGUAAACUCCUGUCGACCGGGACGAAAUUUCCGGGAGCUAACAUCUCCUGCAAUUGACGGUACCGGUGGAGGAAGCCCCGGCUAACUCCGUGCCAGCCGCCGCGGUAAUUC